rnacentral:rRNA from 1 species
AGUGGCGGACGGGUGAGUAACGCGUGAGAAUCUGCCUUCAGGAUGGGGACAACAGCGGGAAACUGCUGCUAAUACCCAAUGUGCCGAAAGGUGAAAGUUAUAUCGCCGGAAGAGGAGCUCGCGUCUGAUUAGCUAGUUGGUAGAGUAAAAGCCUACCAAGGCGACGAUCAGUAGCUGGUCUGAGAGGAUGAGCAGCCACACUGGGACUGAGACACGGCCCAGACUCCUACGGGAGGCAGCAGUGGGGAAUUUUCCGCAAUGGGCGAAAGCCUGACGGAGCAAUACCGCGUGAGGGAGGAAGGUUCAAGUAAUUGUAAACCUCUUUUCUCAGGGAAGAAAAAAAUGACGGUACCUGAGGAAAAAGCAUCGGCUAACUCCGUGCCAGCAGCCGCGGUAAUACGGAGGAUGCAAGCGUUAUCCGGAAUUAUUGGGCGUAAAGCGUCCGCAGGUGGUGAAACAAGUCUGCUGUCAAAGACCAGAGCUUAACUCUGGGAAGGCGGUGGAAACUGUAGCACUAGAGACCGGUAGGGGUAGAGGGAAUUCCCAGUGUAGCGGUGAAAUGCGUAGAGAUUGGGAAGAACACCAGUGGCGAAAGCGCUCUACUGGGCCGGAACUGACACUAAGGGACGAAAGCUAGGGGAGCGAAAGGGAUUAGAUACCCCUGUAGUCCUAGCCGUAAACGAUGGAUACUAGGCGU